GUCUCACUAAUUUUUUUCUCCAAUUUCUCCCACUUCUCUUCUCUUUCUCUUUUAGAUUCACCAAAUUUCAAAAAUUUUCUCUCUUCCACCAAGCGUUGCGUGGGACACCAGCAUCGAAUCUCCAUGAUCAUGCCUAUAAAUGGAAGCCUCCAAGGCCAACACGACCACCACCAGCGGUGCUUGCCGACCUGACCUUCUCCUCUCUCAAGGUCUCUCUGUUUUCUUGUUCUCUCAAAUCCAGCUGUGGCCAAGCUUCUGCUUGGCCCUUCUCUGGCAGUGCUUCUCAACGGCGUCACUGGUGCUGGUGGCCAUUGGUCUUGAGGGAGGUCAUCAGAUUGUGAAAUGCACCAGGAUGCUCCCCCAAUAGGUUGAUUCUUUUCACUUCAUGCUAACAAGAGAAGGAACUAGGCUCUAGCUAAGGUGGGGAACAGAGUUAACGGCUGAUUCGUUUCACUUCCUGCACCAAGAAGACUGUCAAGUUCUUGUAUUUUCAAUUUCAAUUGGCCAAUUCCUUGACUAUGGGGAAUCCAAGAAUCAACUAACGGCUUUGUCAACAAUAAUGUAUCUUGUAUUUAUCACCAUAUAUCUUUUGCAAAUGAAAAAGAAAAAGAGCAUGAAAUGGACUUGUUCUGGCCAAGGUGUUGUGUUUUUGCCUUCUGUUGUUGCUACAGAAUUGAAUAGCUAAGCAAGUUGUUGCAUCUUCAUGUUAUAGCUGAUUUUGUGUUGCUAAGUUGAUUUUGUGUUGAUGAAUAUAUGUGAGGUAUACAA